rnacentral:rRNA from 7 species
ACUGUUAGUGGUGGAUCACUCGGCUCACUGGU